rnacentral:rRNA from 1 species
UUUUGGGAGCUCACUGGCUUCAGAGUCAUGGGAACUCCGAAGUUAAGCGAGUUUUGGCUAGAGCAAUCCCAGGAUGGGUGACCCACAGGGAAGUUGAUCAUGAGUUCCAGAAA